AGAUUAAUGGUAAUUCUGAGUAACUAUGUUCUGCAGGAGGGUUAUUUUGUAGUCAUUCUGUUGAUCUUCUUAUGUUAGCUCUAAAUAUAAUUGCUCGGUUUGUAAUCAUUCUUUCUCAUAUAAUUACAAUGAAUAUAAUGAUUCCUACAAUAGAAAUUGUAGACCCAAUUCUUGAUACUACGUUUCAUGAUGUAUAUGCGUCUGGGUAGUCAGAGUAUCGUCGAGGUAUUCCUGCUAAUGCUAGGAAGUGUUGAGGAAAGAAUGUUAAAUUUACUCCAAUGAAUAUAAUUGUAAAUUGGAUUUUUAAUCAUGUAUUAUUUAUAGUUAAUCCUGUAAAUAGUGGAUAUCAUUGAAUGACACCUCCUAUAAUUGCAAAUACUGCUCCUAUAGAUAAUACAUAAUGAAAGUGGGCUACUACAUAAUAUGUAUCAUGUAAUACAAUAUCAAGUGAUGAAUUUGCUAAUACUAAUCCUGUUAAUCCACCAAUUGUAAAUAGGAAAAUAAAUCCUAGAGCUCAUAAUAAUGGUGGAUUGAACUUGAAUUUAGUUCCAUAUAAUGUAGCUAAUCAUCUAAAUACCUUAAUUCCUGUAGGUACAGCAAUAAUUAUUGUUGCUGAUGUAAAAUAUGCUCGUGUGUCAACAUCCAUUCCUACUGUAAAUAUAUGAUGUGCUCAUACAAUAAAUCCUAUUAGUCCAAUUGAUAGUAUAGCAUAAAUUAUACCUAAUGUUCCAAAUGAUUCAAUUUUUCCUCUUUCUUGACAUACAAUAUGUGAAAUAAUUCCGAACCCCGGUAGAAUUAAAAUAUAAACUUCUGGGUGUCCAAAGAAUCAAAAUAGAUGUUGAUAUAGAAUUGGGUCAACCCCUCCUGCAGGGUCAAAGAAUGAUGUAUUUAAAUUUCGAUCUGUUAAUAAUAUAGUAAUAGCUCCUGCUAAAACUGGAAGUGAAAGAAGGAGAAGUAAUGCUGUAAUAGCUACAGAUCAUACAAAUAAAGGUGUUUGAUCUAAAGUUAUACUUUCUGAUCGUAUAUUAAUUGCUGUUGUAAUGAAAUUCACUGCACCAAGAAUAGAUGAUACACCUGCUAAGUGCAGUGAAAAAAUAGCUAGAUCUACAGAUGCACCCCCGUGUGCAAUAGCUCCUGCUAGAGGAGGGUAAACUGUUCAUCCUGUACCAGCACCAUUAUCUACUAUAGAAGAUGUAAGAAGAAGGGUUAGUGAAGGUGGUAGUAAUCAAAAACUUAUAUCAUUUAUUCGUGGAAAUGCUAUAUCUGGUGCACCAAUUAUUAGUGGAACAAGUCAAUUACCAAAUCCACCAAUUAUAAUAGGUAUUACUAUAAAGAAAAUUAUUACGAAUGCGUGAGCUGUAAAAAUAACAUUAUAAA